GGGGACAGAAGAACAGAACAGGUGAUUGAAAGGGGAAAGAAGAGGUGAGCAAAUGAGGGAAAGAAGGAAAGAAGAGGGGAACGCGUGAGGGAUUUGUAAAGUAAAAGGGUAUACGUGAGGUAGGAGGAGUGAAGUGAGGGAUGGGGAAAGAAGAGUGAAACAAGUGAGGAAUAGGAGGUAGAUAGUAGGAAGGAAGGAGGUAGAGGUAGGAAGAAAAUGAUAACAAUCAAGGGAAGGGGAAACAAGAAGAGGGUAACAAUUAAAGAAAAAGAGGGCUAUGGGAGAGGGGCAAAAUUGGGGUAAGGGGAAAGUGAGAACAUG